CACUCUGAGGAGAGCGUUCCGGC
rnacentral:piRNA from 1 species